AUUGAAUUCGACUACAGUUCAGAAUAAAAAAAGUGAAUAUGCAAAAGCCAGGUAAUAUGUUAAUGAUAAAGUGUGUAUAAAUUUUCGUAAACGAAGUUACCCGUAUACUUCCCCAAGAAUUACAUUUGAGCGCAAAGUUCUGUAAUUGUGUGAUAUGGUUUUGGGUUUAUGUAACAUAAUUUAGACUGGGAUCCUGGCUAAUCUUGACCUUACGACGCGCAGCUAGAUUG
rnacentral:lncRNA from 1 species